rnacentral:rRNA from 1 species
AGAGUUUGAUCAUGGCUCAGGAUCAACGCUGGCGGCGUGCCUAAAACAUGCAAGUCGGACGCUCUCCGAGCAAUCGGGGGGAGUGGCGGACGGCUGAGUAGCACGUGGGCGACCUGCCAUCUGGUGGGGGAUAACCCCUCGAAAGGGGGGCUAAGACCGCAUACGAUCCGGGAUUCGGUUCUCGGAUGAAAGCAGCCAUGCGCCGGAUGAGGGGCCCGCGGCCGAUUAGCUGGUUGGUGGGGUAGCGGCCUACCAAGGCGACGAUCGGUAGCCGGUCUGAGAGGAUGGCCGGCCAGACUGGGACUGAGACACGGCCCAGACUCCUGCGGGAGGCAGCAGUUAGGAAUUUUGGGCAAUGGGCGCAAGCCUGACCCAGCAACGCCGCGUGGGCGACGAAGCCUUUCGGGGUGUAAAGCCCUUUUCCACGGGACGAUGAUGACGGUACCGUGGGAAGAAGCCCCGGCUAACUACGUGCCAGCAGCCGCGGUAAUACGUAGGGGGCGAGCGUUGUCCGGAUUCAUUGGGCGUAAAGCGCGCGCAGGCGGUUCUCAGAGCCCGGCGUGAAAGCCCCCGGCUCAACCGGGGGAGGCCGUCGGGGACCUGGGGGCUGGAGGCCGGUAGGGGAGAGCGGAAUUCCCGGUGUAGUGGUGGAAUGCGUAGAGAUCGGGAGGAACACCAGUGGCGAAGGCGGCUCUCUGGACCGGACCUGACGCUCAGGCGCGAAAGCGUGGGGAGCGAUCCGGAUUAGAUACCCCAGUAGUCC